rnacentral:lncRNA from 1 species
CCCGCACUUCACCAGCAAUUAUUUUUUUAUUCAACCAUCUUUUUUGAAAAUUUUAAGUUUCAGUAUAAACUAAGUUAUAUAAUGCACCAUGGCCUGCCAAUUAAACACUCAUUCUUAUAUUUCUUCCAAUAAAAUAUUGUAAUUUAAAUGUUCAACCCCCCUAAAAUCAUGUUGUCCCCUGUGUUUUUUUGAAAACUAAAUCAUUCAAAUAAUAUCCAAAUUAAUCAAACAAGCGUCCGAUUCUCACAUAUAUGAUAUAUUAUAUAAUAAACUUGCCCCUAAUUUGUCUUUUUAUAUUAUAACUAUAGCAUGUAAUAAAAUUUUGCAAAUUUUAAGAGAAAAAAAAAUUGUCCCCAGGGGUGAUUUCCCUCCUGUUACCACUGGUUUUUUUUUACCUGUGGAAACGUUUACAAGACCAAGAGUUAUUUUCCCAUAAUGUAUUGUGAAGAGCAUCAUUUCCUGAAUGCAUUAGUACAAAGAAAUAGUUGGAAAGGCG